GAAAUGCGAUAAGUAAUGUGAAUUGCAGAAUUCAGUGAAUCAUCGAAUCUUUGAACGCACCUUGCGCUCCUUGGUAUUCCUUGGAGCAUGCCUGUUUGAGUAUCAUGAAAUCUUCAAAGUAAAUCUUUUGUUAACUCAAUUGGUUUCUACUUUGGUAUUGGAGGUCUUUGCAGCUUCACACCUGCUCCUCUUUGUUCAUUAGCUGGAUCUCAGUGUUAUGCUUGGUUCCACUCGGCGUGAUAAGUUAUCUAUCGCUGAGGACACUGUAAAAGGUGGCCAAGGUAAAUGCAGAUGAUCCGCUUCUAAUAGUCCAUUGACUUGGACAAUACUUUUAUGAUCUGAUCUCAAAUCAGGUAGUACUACCCGCUGAACUUAAGC
rnacentral:misc_RNA from 1 species